UCCCUCUCAGGGUCGCACCUGGAGAGUUUCCAUUACUCUACCAGUCUCGGCUACAUGAGGGAGAGUCAAGCAGAAGCCUGUUCAUUCCUAGCUUGGACAGUGGCUAGUAAGUGGAAGGCAAUCUGCUACAAGU